AUCGUAAACAGGACUAUAGGUGUGCAUAGCACAUAAAAGGAAUCAGGUGUAAAUCCUGAACAAGGCCGUUGCCGUGUUUAGCUAAACUAUACGCAAGAUAGAAAUAUCAGCCACUGGAUUAUCUGGGAAGGCGCGUAUAUGCUGGUAUUCAGCAGCUAUCAGUCGGAAUACUUGCCUAGGGUUCACUCGUUAC
rnacentral:ncRNA from 2 species